rnacentral:rRNA from 1 species
UACAGAGGUCUCAAGCGUUGUCCGGAUUCAUUGGGCGUAAAGAGCGUGUAGGCGGCCAGGUAGGUCGGUUGUGAAAACUGGAGGCUCAACCUUCAGAGGUCGACCGAAACCAUCUGGCUAGAGUCCGGGAGAGGAGAGUGGAAUUCCUGGUGUAGCGGUGAAAUGCGCAGAUAUCAGGAAGAACACCUAUGGCGAAGGCAGCUCUCUGGGACGGUACUGACGCUGAGACGCGAAAGCGUGGGGAGCGAACAGG